rnacentral:rRNA from 1 species
GACGAACGCUGGCGGCGUGCCUAAUACAUGCAAGUCGAGCGGACCAAACAGGAGCUUGUUCUUGCUUGGUUAGCGGCGGACGGGUGAGUAACACGUGGGUAAUCUGCCCGUAAGACCGGGAUAACUCCGGGAAACCGGAGCUAAUACCGGAUAACACCGAAGACCGCAUGGUCUUUGGUUGAAAGGCGGCUUCGGCUGCCACUUACGGAAUGGCCCGCGGCGGAUUAGCUAGCUGGUGAGGUAACGGCUCACCAAGGCGACGAUGCGUAGCCGGCCUGAGAGGGUGAGCGGCCACACUGGGACUGAGACACGGCCCAGACUCCUACGGGAGGCAGCAGUAGGGAAUCUUCCGCAAUGGACGAAAGUCUGACGGAGCGACGCCGCGUGAGCGAAGAAGGUCUUCGGAUCGUAAAGCUCUGUUGUUAGGGAAGAAGAAGCGUCGUUCGAACAGGGCGGCGCGGUGACGGUACCUAGCGAGAAAGCCCCGGCUAACUACGUG